rnacentral:lncRNA from 1 species
AAGGACCACGUGUCCGAUUUUUUUUUCUCCAACGGUAAAAUGGGAAAUGGAUGAAGGACAAAAGGGGCCCAUUUUCGGUGGCCAUUGAAAAAAGAAGACAAUUGGCCACGUCUUGAAAAAGCCAAGGGCCACGUUAAAAAAGAGGAGGAUAUCAAUAAUAGACUGUCCUCACAAGCUCUCUCUCUGGCUGGAGACGGAAAAAAACAAAAAAAAAAGAGAAAAAGAGGAUUUUUCCUCUUCU